AACGAACGCUGGCGGCAUGCCUAACACAUGCAAGUCGAACGAACCCUUCGGGGUUAGUGGCGCACGGGUGCGUAACGCGUGGGAAUCUGCCCUUUGGUUCGGAAUAACUCAGGGAAACUUGAGCUAAUACCGGAUGAUGACUUCGGUCCAAAGAUUUAUCGCCAAAGGAUGAGCCCGCGUAGGAUUAGCUAGUUGGUGGGGUAAUGGCCCACCAAGGCGACGAUCCUUAGCUGGUCUGAGAGGAUGAUCAGCCACACUGGGACUGAGACACGGCCCAGACUCCUACGGGAGGCAGCAGUGGGGAAUAUUGGACAAUGGGCGAAAGCCUGAUCCAGCAAUGCCGCGUGAGUGAUGAAGGCCUUAGGGUUGUAAAGCUCUUUUACCCGGGAUGAUAAUGACAGUACCGGGAGAAUAAGCUCCGGCUAACUCCGUGCCAGCAGCCGCCGCUGUAA
rnacentral:rRNA from 1 species